rnacentral:rRNA from 1 species
GAUGAACGCUAGCGGCAGGCCUAAUACAUGCAAGUCGAACGGUGUAGCAAUACACAGUGGCGCACCGGUGCGUAACACGUAUGCAACCUACCUAUUAUUGGGGGAUAGCCUUUGGAAACGGAGAUUAAUACCGCAUAAGACAGUGACAUGGCAUCAUGUAGCUGUUAAAAGCUUUAUCGAUGUAAGCUGGGCAUGCGUCCAAUUAGCUAGUUGGUGAGGUAACGGCUCACCAAGGCUAUGAUUGGUAGGGGAACUGAGAGGUCAAUCCCCCANACUGGCACUGAGAUACGGGCCAAGACUCCGUACGGGAGCAGCAGUAGGAAUAUGGCAA